rnacentral:rRNA from 1 species
GGAUUCCCCUAGUAACUGCGAGUGAAGCGGGAUAAGCUCAAAUUUAAAAUCUGGCAGCCUUUGGUUGUCCGAGUUGUAAUCUAGAGAAGUGUUAUCCGCGCUGGACCGUGUACAAGUCUCCUGGAAUGGAGCGUCAUAGAGGGUGAGAAUCCCGUCUUUGACACGGACUGCCAGGGCUUUGUGAUGCGCUCUCAAAGAGUCGAGUUGUUUGGGAAUGCAGCUCAAAAUGGGUGGUAAAUUCCAUCUAAAGCUAAAUAUUGGCGAGAGACCGAUAGCGAACAAGUACCGUGAGGGAAAGAUGAAAAGAACUUUGGAAAGAGAGUUAAACAGUACGUGAAAUUGCUGAAAGGGAAACGCUUGAAGUCAGUCGCGUUGUCCAGGGAUCAACCUUGCUUUUGCUUGGUGCACUUUCUGGUUGACGGGUCAGCAUCAAUUUUGAUUAUUGGAAAAAGAUUAAGGGAAUGUGGCAUCUUUGGAUGUGUUAUAGCCCUUGGUUGCAUACAAUAGUUGGGAUUGAGGAACUCAGCACGCCGCAAGGCCGGGUUUUUAACCACGUACGUGCUUAGGAUGCUGGCAUAAUGGCUUUAAUCGACCCGUCUUGAAACACGGACCAAGGAGUCUAACAUGCCUGCGAGUGUUUGGGUGGAAAACCCGAGCGCGUAAUGAAAGUGAAAGUUGAGAUCCCUGUCGUGGGGAGCAUCGACGCCCGGACCAGACCUUUUGUGACGGAUCCGCGGUAGAGCAUGUAUGUUGGGACCCGAAAGAUGGUGAACUAUGCCUGAAUAGGGUGAAGCCAGAGGAAACUCUGGUGGAGGCUCGUAGCGAUUCUGACGUGCAAAUCGAUCGUCAAAUUUGGGUAUAGGGGCGAAAGACUAAUCGAAMCAUCUAGUAGCUGGUUCUGCGA